UUUAAAUUUAAAAUAGUGUAAAAUAUAAUUAUAUCUGGAGAGAGUUGUAGAUGGAUGGUGUUUGACAUUAUAACACCAAUUAUUGUUGAUUAGUAUAAAACAGACAACUGAAGAAAGAAAUUAAAUCAGUUUUUACAGAGAACUAACAUCAAGAUGAGGCAACUAAUUGUACUUGGAAUAUUGAUCAACUUCCUGUUUACCACGGUCCUGUCACUUGACAAGAGUUGUCCGACCUGUGGACGUCCGGUAUGUAGAUGUCAGUGUAAAAAUCAACACAGAUGGAAUGGGAAGCGAGACCUAGCUGUCAGUGAUGUCGAAGAUGUCUUCAAGAGAAAUGAUGAACCGUUGGAAGAACUAGAGAGGUCUGUGACUGGACAAGAUUUUAGUCUAGAAGAGGAAUAAAGUUUUUCUGCCUAAAUGACGAUCCAACCAAGUGUCAAGUCACAAGUUGAAAAAUAAAAUGCAAUAAAGUCA